CAUCUCCAACACGGCAAUAGUGCAUGCAUCUUCAAUUCCCUGUGGAGAAUGUAGAAAAUAUCUUAGGCCAUGUUUGGUUCGCAUGAAAAAGUUUUCCAUGGGAAGUAGGUUCCCAUAAAUCAAAGAAAUUGGUCUUUUCCAAGGUUUGGUUGAUUGGAAUUUGUUUUCCAAUGGAAGUAUAGUUCUGCAUUUCUCAGGAAAACAAAAUCUGUGGGGAAAGGUGGUUUUUUUUUUUCCGUUGCAGGUGGGAAGAAAAAUUCUGGUUUUAGGACUAAUUUACCCAUGUACUUCUCUCUUAAUUACAUACAUAUAAAUGGCAAAUCUAGGGUUAUUUCUUGCUCCCUUCUACCGUUUCCUCAUUCUCUUUUCUUUCGGCCGUUUAUUGCUUUCUUCUCUGUUCUUCCCAUCGGUGCCUUCUUCUUUCUUCUCGCGUCUUUCUUCCUCUUUUUUCAACACCAUAGUCCAUAGUUCAAGCACUAUAGCCAUUUUACCGUAGCAAGAGCCUUGGUUACUGCAGAUUCUUUGCUUGGUGCUGCCAUGAUGUUGAGUGAGAAGUUGGAAUCGGUAGGAGACAAAAUAAGUAAAAGUCUUGGAACUGAAUUGACUCUUCAACAAAAAAUUGAGCAAUUAGAGGGUAAGUUGAGUGAGAUUGAGGGGCUGGAAUAUGAUGACAAGUUUAUGGCUUUGAUCAAGCUUCCUGAAUAUCCAAAUCAAAUGCUUGUAUUUUUUAGUCUUGCAGCGGACCAAAGGCUUGAAUGGGUGAAAAGGUUCCUUGCUACAUAUUGAACAUGUUUGUGGUAAGGAGUCUUGCAACGGACCAAAGGCUGAUGCAUUGUUGUUUUUGUUGUCAAGUUAGAAAGUAUCAUAUUGUAAGUAUGAAGCUGGCUAUGUAAAAAUAUGAUGUUAGCUUAUUUUUUUGGAAACUAAAAAGGAUGAACUUGUUAACUUGAAUAUCAUGUGUAUUUUGUAAUAUUUUGAAACUUGUUUGUUAUAAUAUUAUGGUAUUCUGCAACA